UACAUAUUGAACGAUCCGGGUGAAGCCGCUCUAUGCGGUUUCUUAAAAGGGAAGCUGGUGAAAAUCCAGCGCGGUCCCGCCACUGUAAAUGGGAACAAACGACAGACUUGCCACUGUGCGCUACGUGCGGGAAGGCGUCGCUUGUGAUGAACAUGAGCCAGGAGACCUGCCCGGACAAUGUGCACCAA
rnacentral:ncRNA from 1 species